CAGGUCAAUUGACGCGAGCCGAGGAUCUGGCUAAGCAGCCUCAAAUUCUCCGCCCACCAGUCAGCGCAAAGCAGGUCGCCCAGCGCACGUCGACCCCAAGAACCCCAGAGAAUCGCCCGUCAGCCGUCGCCACGCUGCGCCGGGGCCAAGAAAUGCUUCUCCUGCUCCUCAUCGCUGUCCUCACCGCCGUCGCUGCCUUCCUCCUCUUCAAGUUCGCCACCGUCGUCGAUGGGGACUUGACGCUCGUAUCCCGCGGCCCGCCGCGGCGGGAUAGGGUGGACGGCAAGGUUGUGUGGAUUACUGGAGCUAGCCGCGGGAUUGGGGAGGUUCUUGCAAUGCAAUUUGCAAAUUUAGGAGCAAAGCUGAUACUAUCUGCACGUACCAAGGAUGAGCUUGAGAGAGUGAAAAAAAACAUCCUCAGCAAGAAUCCAGAUAGCAGAGUUGAAGUGUUACCCAUGGAUUUAUCAGCUGGUGAAGAAUCUCUAAAAGAAGUCGUACAUGUGGCAGAAUCAUUUUUUUCUAAUGCAGGCGUUGACUAUAUGAUCCAUAAUGCAGCCUUCGAACGUCCUAAACGGGGGGCUCUGGAAGAAAGUGAGGAAGGUCUUAAGGCUACUUUGAAUGUCAAUGUCUUUGGAACUAUUACUUUAACUCGCCUUCUAGCACCUUACAUGCUGGAUAGAGGAACGGGACAUUUUGUUGUGAUGAGCAGUGCUGCUGGAAAGGUUCCUGCUCCUGGCCAGGCCAUUUACUCUGCCUCCAAACAUGCUCUUAAUGGAUAUUUUGCUUCUCUGCGAUCUGAGUUGUGUACAAAGGGCAUUAAGGUCACUGUUGUCUGCCCCGGACCGAUUGAAACACCACAAUCUUCUGCUGCAGCCUCUCAAGUACAAACACAUUCUGCUGAGAAACGUGAGAAACGUGUUUCGGUGGAAAGGUGUGUUGAACUUACAAUUAUUGCUGCUACUCAUGGACUGAAAGAAGCAUGGAUAUCAUAUCAGACUCUCUUGUUUGCUCGCAGCCUGUGUUGACUGUUAUGUACUUGGUGCAAUACAUGCCAACAGUUGGUUACUGGCUCAUGGACAAGGUUGGUGCAAAACGGCUGGAUGCGGCUGCAAAGAAAGGGAACACGUAUAGUUGGAAUCUCAUUUUCGGCAGCAAGAAAUCAGCAUGACCAAGUUACUCGUAGCUCCUAGUACCAGGGUAUUUCUGGAUUCGGAUGGUCACGUGACUUUAUGCUUGUAAGCAAAAAGUUUAGACUGAAAAGGAACAGAGCAUCUAUAGAAGCUAUACAGUUUAGUGAAAAACUGGACUCUUAACUAUGGCAGGGUCUAGGUAAUCGUCAUUUGUCCUAGGUUGCUUUUUAAGGAUAUUCUAGUCUCUCUAGAUGAAAUGCUAUUUGUGUGAGCCAAUGGUCAAUAUGUUGGUUGGUAUAAAGGACAACUUUCUGUUGAUGUAUGUUUAUUGAAGUUGAUUAAUAGUUGUGGGAUGAAUACACAUUUCAUGAUUAAUAUGAAAAAAACUUGUACACAGGAAAGAGCUUA